UGAAACAUCUAAGUACCCGGAGGAAAGGACAUCAAACGAGACUCCGUUAGUAGUGGCGAGCGAACGCGGACCAGGCCUGGUCUGAAAUAAGGAGAAGUAUCUGGGAAGGUACGCCGUAGUGGGUGAUAGCCCCGUAUCCGUAAAAUGAAGACCUUUUAGAGUAGGGCGGGACACGUGAAAUCCUGUCUGAACAUGGGGGGACCACCCUCCAAGCCUAAGUACUCCUUACCGACCGAUAGUGAACAAGUACCGUGAGGGAAUGAUGAAAAGAACCCCGAUGAGGGGAGUGAAACAGAUCCUGAAACCGGAUGCCUACAAGCUGAUGGAGCUCUUCGGAGUGACAUCGUACCUUUUGUAUAAUGGGUCAGCGACUUAGUGUUGCGUGCAAGCUUAAGCCGAUAGGUGUAGGCACAGCGAAAGCGAGUCUUAAUAGGGCGACUGAGUUCGAGGGAUGAGACCCGAAGCCGGGUGAUCUAGCCAUGAGCAGGUUGAAGGUGCAGUAACAUGCACUGGAGGACCGAACCCACGUCUGUUGAAAAAGACGGGGAUGACCUGUGGUUAGGGGUGAAAGGCCAAUCAAACUCGGAAAUAGCUGGUUCUCCGCGAAAUCUAUUUAGGUAGAGCGUCACGAUUAGACUCUGGGGGGUAGAGCACUGAAUGGGCUAGGGGUCCUCACCGGAUUACCAAACCUUCUCAAACUCCGAAUACCCAGAAGUUAUGCGUGGCAGACACACGGCGGGUGCUAACGUCCGUCGUGAAAAGGGAAACAACCCAGACCGCCAAUUAAGGCCCCUAAGUAAUAGCUAAGUGCGAAACGAUGUGGAGGUGCUGAGACAAUCAGGAGGUUGGCUUAGAAGCAGCCAUCCUUUAAAGA
rnacentral:rRNA from 11 species